UUUUUUUUUUUCAUGCCCGGCUAAGUGGUGAAGCAUUGAAACCAGAAAAUUUUCUGUUUUUUAGGGGCAAUGGUUGAAUUUUACAAUUUUGAUGUCAAAAUAUGAGGAUAUGCUGCAACAUCACAAGGAGUAGCGUCGAAUGGAGUAAAGGAAGCAGCAACAGCAACAAGAACGCUGCAGUGUUGAAGAAAACAGGGGAAGACAUGACAGUAGCAACAACUACAGACAAGGUUAACUAGGUUCCGGAUUCGGAUUCUGUAGACCCGCUAACUCUGCCAAUGAGAUUUGCCCUGCCAAGGUUAGAGCCACGCUCUUGAAGAAUAACUAAAUAAACAUACAUACAUGUAUGACAUGAGAUUGGUUUCAAAUGUUUAUCUGCAGGGGGCUUUUAAUGGGAAGAUUUUUUGUUUGUUGUUUUCUAAUGACUAAA